CAACAACAACAACAACAACAACAACAACAACUACAACACUCUCUGGUAUUCCUGUUUCAACAAAAUCUCCAGCUGUCUCCACACAACAGCCAGCAACUCCUUCCACCACAACCCAAACUAUCGGUGUAGGCCCAGGAAAGUGUUCUGAAGAUGGAAUAUUUCCGGAUCCUGAGAGUUGCAAGGGAUUUAUUCAGUGUGCACAGGGUAAUAUAUUCAAAAAGUCCUGCAAUGCUGGUUUGUACUUUGAUUUAGCAAUCUACAAUUGCAAUUUUGCAGCAGCUACGGAUUGUGGAAUCCGUCCUACUUAACCCUGACAAUGCCGGGGGGGGGGCUUCUUGAAGUCCCCCCCCCAUUUGACCUACUCUCAUUGAAACUUUUGUCAUGUGUGUCAUAAGUUUCGAAAUUUGGUAAUAAGUUAUAUUCACAAACUCUAAUUUUUAAAUCCCUAUAUCUUUGCAACCCAAUGUAGUAGACAUUUAAUAUAUUAAGCUAUUAAUUUAAAAUAUCAAAGUUUUACGCCAUCAGAUUGCUAAGAUAAAAGAAUUUCAGUUCCUUUAAUAAAUAAUUUAUAUUCUGAAAUUUAUUUUUUGCAAUUUUUGUUAACCUCUUCUAAAGCUUAACUAUUCAAAAAUUAUGUAUACUUUAAACAAACUUUAUAGAAC